CGAAAAAUGACGACGAAUGAUUUGAACGAAGAGGUAACAGCGAGCAUGACUGAAUAACAUUCAGGUAAGCAUAUUGUUAUGUUAUAUGUAUAAUGGAGCAGUUUUGAAAGUAAAUAUUCGCUAUCUUCAUUCAUGAAUUUUGAGCAUUUGUUCAUGUUUAAAAUUUGAAUUUGCCGCGACAAUAUUUGAAUUAAAAAGAUGAUAUAUUAGUUUUAUAGAAGGCUUACAUUUGACUUUAUAUUAAAUUAUGUUUAUUGUAUAAAGGGCAACUAAUAUUUGUGUAUAUGAAUAUAUGACAGACUACCAGAUAACAAUGUUUCUGGUAUAAAGUAUAAAAUAAUAUAGCUUGGCAUCUACUCAAUCAUCAUAUGCUCAACUACACAUGUCCCAGCUAAACAUGGUUUGAGAAAAUGUAACCACUUGUUUCAAAUCAACUGCUACUUUCAUAAGUUUCUAAUUUUUAUAUAUCUAGGUUUUUUAUGUCCAAAUUCUUCAAUCAAUGAAAAAAUCUAUUUCACUGUUAGAGGUGUUAUGCACCAGUCAAUGAAAACCUAUACAACUCAUCCCCCCCCCCCUUUGUCUUUUAAUUAAGCUGUGGAGCUUCCCCAUUAACAAGUAAAAUUGUCUGGCAUAAGACAAGUAAAAAAAUAGGUAAGGCACACUGGGGCGCAUUGUGGCUUGAUGGGUUUACCAGAGACAUUGUCAAAUUUUUUGGUCAACCCAUUAAGCUGCAGAGUUUCCCCAUUGACGAGCAAAAUCGUUUGGCGUUAGACAAGUGAAAAAAAAGUAGAGCGCACUGGGGCGCGUUGUGGCUCAAUGGGUUAAUAUAUCAGAGAACAAUAUUUAAAAACAUUGUCUUUAUAGCUUAAGUCAACAACAAAACGUCGUUAAUUAAUCAAAGUGCAUUAUUACUAUGUGUUUAUUUUCCUGUUUAUGACUGACUUGUUUAUUAUACUAACACAAAAGAUUGAAUGUCCAUGUAUAAGCUCUAUCCCUCCUAUAUACUGUAACCCCCCCCCCUUUGUAUAAGCCCACCAAAUAUAUAGCCCAGGGUUUAUAGUCCGAGAUUUACGGUAUUCCAUGAACCCAUUAAGAUGUGAUGUUGUGAUGGAUUAACAGACUGUGUGUGCAUGUCUCAGUUACCAUUAGCACUUACAUACCCUAAUUUAACCCAUUAAGCUGCAGAGCUUUCCCGCGUUUUCCCCGUUUCCUAGGAUAGAGGCCUCAUCACGAUUUAUGAAUAAGGUCUAUAGUACUCUGAUUUUCCAUUUAACAUACGAGCCUCUAGUCCUGGGAUAGGGUACAUUUUGAUUUACGUUGGACAAAGCUACAGUUCUGUCGGACACCAAUACACUCAGGUCGGACAAACAAUAAACCUCAAUUUCACUUUGGUCGGACAAUGUCCAUGACCGACCGAUAUUUUAAGGCCUGCAUAGCUGGAUUAACCCUAACCCGUAGUUAAAAUUUAUGUAUUUCUACAUACAGUAUCUUUUUGUUUUAAAAUUAUGAAAAGAAAACUCCUAUCAAUGGUACUGAUCCAGACAAGAUGUCUAAAGAAAUAUUUCCAAAUUUAUAAACAAACUGUUAGGAAGUUUGCUUAAUCUAAGGUUAACUUAUCGGCUUUCGAACAAUCAACCCCUGCAUGGUGAUUUUGUUUGUCAAUGGGGAGUGUGUUGGACUUAAAAGGUUUUAACCUUUCAUUGAAACUAGAUUGUCUGCCCACAUUUUGUGUUAACACAUUAAGAUAAAAGCCAGACUGCUUUCAGUACUUCAUGAUUUUAGUAUGUCUAACAUCAGAGGGUCACAUUUCAUAUUUACUGUAACCCUUUUAGAUGCAAAGGACAUUUUAGUCAUCCAGAGGGGGAGGGAGUCUAAGAGUAGAAUCUUCUGAGACUGAUAAUAGUAAGAUGUACUAAUUAAGACAUCAAUGGAAUGGGGUAGGGGGGGGUUAAAUUCCAAGUUUCUUUGUAUGUCAUGCUUGAAGUUUUCAAGGAUGGAUAGAUCGGCUUAGAUAAAAAUGUCAAUUUGAUGUUUUGUGUGGCAACUUGAAUAUGGACAUCUCCCUAAUUGGAAACAGUUAAAGUCCUUAGUUUGUUUGUUUGUUUGUUUGUUCAAACUCAUGAAUACAUUUAGCUAGCUACACCACCCACAUGAUCUGCUUAGUAAUAUAUGUAACAACCCAAUUCACUCCAAUUAACCCAGUUUUCAGCACUUUCUUAAAUUAUGUCACCUUUCCUAAUGCUGGACAAGUUAAUUUGUGUGUAGCUAGAUUUUGCCCAUGUUUCAUGUUGACAUAUUUAGAUGCAAUUUUCCCUAACACUCCCUACUUUAAGUCCUUUAAUAUUGAACUGUGACGUCUCAUGCUAGACAAUUUUACUUAUCGACUGCAUGGACUCAUUUCACCUAUUAACACCGAAGAAACAAUUUCCUCUUAAAUGUUGCCUACUUUCGGUUCUUUCUGUGCAGGACAGAGUAUUUCUGCUAUCCAGCCAGAUACAGGAUAUGCUGGAUGGCUGAAAAAUAUCCAGCCCGAUUAAGGGUAUUAUUCAAAUAAUUAUAUAAGGUUCAGGCAUCAUUUAAGGUUAAGUACUGGUAAUAAUUUUAUUUGGUUAAAAAGUAAACAGUCUAAAACUAGUAAACCUGCAUCAUUGGUAGCAAACCUGCAUCGUUGGUAGCAAACAUGCAUCAUUGGUAACAAAAGCCUGUUUACAUCAGUUAAAAGUUCAAAUCCCCAUUUACUGUACAAACAAGCAUUGAAAAUACUGAUCAUAUUUAUCAUAUUUUUACUUCAAUGAUCAUGAUAUGAUAACCUUAUCAAAUCAUUUUCUAACCUGAAAAGAAGGCCUGAACCCUAUAUGAAUAAUAUCCGGCAUUGGGUAGCCGGAUACCAGAUAAUGAAUUAAAAUCUUAAUAUCCGGCCAGAUACAGUAUCAGUCCAUUGCAUCCUAUGUCUUGAAAUGCCAAACAAAUUAACUUGUUAAAUGACUGUAUAUUGAUAACCCUUUGAGCAGCAAUGUGCCCAAGUGCACCCUACUUUGUUAUGUUGCACUUAACUAACACCAGACAUUUUACUUUGUGAAAUGCCAGACAAUUUUACUCCUCAAGAGCAGUGUCCUGCUCACUAAUGGUUAUCCAAAUUAUCUGCCAAUGUGCCUUGAUAACCCAUUAGGCCGAAAUGCACCCAAAUUGACCCGCCUUUGUUAUUUUACUCUGUCAAAUGCCGGACAAUUUUAGUCAUCAAGAAGAGAGUCCUGCGUGCUAGUGGGUUAAAUGACUUAAUUACAUAUGUUAUAUAUAAGGUCAAUUUCACAUGAGACAUUGAAAAUGGCAAAAUUGCAAAAUGCAACAUUAUGUGGUGCUAACUACAUGUUUCCAUAGUUAACACAUUGGAUUAUCAUAAAUCAAAACGAUUUUUGAAUUUUGGCCCAUGCCCACUCUGCGGCAAACCGUCGAAUCUGCACUUGUUUGUUGCUAUUGUUCUGUGGAUAAAGUGUGUUUAUUUAAAAUAAUUAUAACUCAGUCACUUUAACUUUGAAAUACUUAUAUUUCUUAACAAACACAGUCUAAGGUUCACAUAUCAUGAUGACAAUGUUAGAUCAGACAAUAUCCAGUGUUGCUGUGAUUUAUGGUGCAUCGAAGUUUGGGUAAGAGAAAUGUAAUGUCCGCAACAAAAAAACAAUUCAAUUUAUUUUUCAGCCAAACGUCUAGCUCUUUUGACAUUAUAUUUGUGCUGCUUUUUUAAAAUGGUAUUAACAUUAUUUUAGACUGGAAAAAGACAAUAAAAAGUAUUAACAUGUCUUGAAUAAUGUGUUGCGGACAUUACGUUGCAGACAUUACAUUUUUGAAAUUGGAGAAUUAGAUGCUUAUAUAUAAUUGUCUUGCUUGAAUUCUAUAGUUAUCUUAAGCUUGAUGACUUAAAAAUAGAACAUUAAAAGGACUAUGGGACCCUUACUUUUAACUAUAAUCACUCCGUGCUGUAUACACAAUCACAGUGACACAAUUCAUCAUGGAAAGUUUCCAAGUUACAUAUAAUGCCACUACCGUAUACUGCCAUUGUACCAUCAGUUUUGUAAGGCAUAUGUUGUUAAGAGCAAAAUCAUGUUUUAAUUCGUGUUUGUUUUGAUCAUCUUCCACUAAACCCAGGGGUGUUAAUUAUCCCCACCAAAUGUAGUAAAUGCAAAACUGUCAAAUAGAAUGGUCUACAAACAUGACACUUUAUUUGCUGCACAACCCGAGUCAUUGCCUGAGUCUAUGCGCAACAAAUAUUGCACUUUUGAAAGAUAUUAUUGUCAACAGAAGAUUAUAUACUGUAAUAUAUGUGACCAUGAUUUCAUCCCAGGAUUUAUGGUGGUAUACACAUGGGCAUACAGGAAGGAAAAAAUUAGGGGGAGGAAAGAAAUUUGCCUGACUUUUUCGGAUUGUGCCCGCGUUGUUAAAAAAAUUUCCGGAGAAACUUUCCAAAAUUGUUGUCGACGUAGAAUUCCUAUUAGAUAGAUAGCAUAUUUCCCACACAAUUGACAGAAUUCCCCACAAAAUUGACAGAAUUUGUCUCAUUUAUUUUUAUAAUAAGCCAAUAUUGCCCAAGUGUGAAGCGAAUAUUGCCCGACUGGCUUUGUUUGCUCCACCCCCCCCCCCGGCCGGUACGCCCAUGGGUAUACAAAUGUAAAUAGAAUUAAGCUAGAAUGCCUGUUAUGUGGACUAGAAACAUUGAAGUGCAUAAUCAGUCGCCCAGUUUUGUUUUCCUAUCAUUUUUAAUACAGAUUGCUAUACAAUCCCAAAAAUGUAAUGUCCGCAACAGUUUCAGUGUAAUGUCCGCAACACAAACUUUGCACUAUAAAAGCUGCGCAAGGGCAUUGUAGAACAUCUCGUUUUCAUAUUUUUUAACCCCAAUUAUCACUGAGAGCAGGAAGUGUUUUAGUUCCUUUGAUACCUUUCAAAGUUCACAGGAAAUUACGUUUUAAAAACAUCACUUCAAUGUGUGGUUGAUUUUGCUGUAAUGUCCGCAACAGUACUUUGACUUUUUAUUACAAGAAUUGAUUACGAGGGAAUUUUGUUUUUUUUUAUGAAAUCUUAAGAGGUCCCCUUAAGGUUUUCUAUGACAAAGUUCCCAGAUCUGAAACUGUUGCAAACAGGAAACAGAGCAUGUUUUGUAUUAAUUGUUUUUCUGUGAAUGUAAUGUCCGCAACGUGAAAUUGCCCAUAAACUUAAGCUGUUAGAUUGUCCCAUUGUAUAUUAAUUUUUUACUUAUCUUGACACAGGCUUGUAUGUUGGAUUGAUACGACUACCUGUAAAUAUGGUUAAACUUGGCUAUGUGAUUCAAAGGUUGUGGUUCACCGAGCGAUAAAGAAAAUGAUACAAAGAUGGAAUGAUUGGAUGCAAGUUAUCAGUUACAGUGUUUCAUAUGACAGGUAUUCUGAUUGUGGAAGAUGUGGGCUUGCAAUAUUUUGACAAUUGCAUGGCUGUAAAGUACGAGACAAUUAAUAUAGUACUCCAUUACUCUAAUUGCCAGAACACUGCAUCAGAAUAAGAAGUUGUCUGUUACAGUUAGGUUUAGUAAAAGUAUAGUAAAAGUACAUAGUCAACUAUGUAAAAUGUAAUUUAGUCAGUGUCAAAUAAAUAUUUUGUCA